GUCGAGAAUUUUUCUCAAUGGGGGAAACCCUGAAGGAGCGACGCCGCGUGGGGGAUGAAUGGCUUCGGCCCGUAAACCCCUGUCAUUUGCGAUCAAACCUUGCGAUCUAACACAUCGUAAGCUGAUAGUAGCGAAAGAGGAAGGGACGGCUAACUCUGUGCCAGCAGCCGCGGUAAUACAGAGGUCCCAAGCGUUGUUCGGAUUCACUGGGCGUAAAGGGUGCGUAGGCGGUCGGGUAAGUCUAACGUGAAAUCUCCGAGCCUAACUCGGAAACUGCGUCGGAUACUAUUCGGCUAGAGGAAUGGAGGGGAGACUGGAAUUCUCGGUGUAGCAGUGAAAUGCGUAGAUAUCGAGAGGAACACCAGUGGCGAAGGCGAGUCUCUGGACAUUUCCUGACGCUGAGGCACGAAAGCCAGGGGAGCAAACGGGAUUAGAAACCCCAGUAGUCC
rnacentral:rRNA from 1 species